GAGGAACGCAUUUAUUAGAUAAAAAGCCAAUGCAUGCUUUUACAGUAUGGAAAUUGGUGAUUUAUAAUAACUUAGCAAAUCGCAAAGUGAAAACAGGCGAUAAAUCAUUCAAGUUUCUGACCUAUCAGCUUUCGACGGUAUGGUAUUGGCUUACCGUGGCAGUGACGGUUAACGGGGGAUUAGGGUUCGAUUCCGGAGAGGGAGCCUGAGAAACGGCUACCACAUCUAAGGAAGGCAGCAGGCGCGCAAAUUACCCAAUUCUAACAGUUUGAGAGAGGUAGUAACAAGAAAUAACAAUACAAGGCAAUUAAAAUGCUUUGUAAUUGGAAUGAUAGAAAUUUAAACCCUUUUUAAAGUAUCAAUUGGAGGGCAAGUCUGGUGCCAGCAGCCGCGGUAAUUCCAGCUCCAAUAGCGUAUAUUAAAAUUGUUGCAGUUAAAAAGCUCGUAGUUGAAGUUCUGCUAAAAGUAACCGGUCUGCUUUUAAUAAAAGUGGUAUCUUGGUGUGUAUUUAGCAAUGAUGUCCUUUGAAGUGUUUUUUACUUUAUUGUAAUAAAGCAUAUUCAGGACUUUUACUUUGAGAAAAUUAGAGUGUUUCUAGCAGGCCGACGCUUUGAAUACUGCAGCAUGGAAUAAAUAAGA
rnacentral:rRNA from 1 species